UACGUAGGGUGCGAGCGUUGUCCGGAAUUAUUGGGCGUAAAGAGCUCGUAGGCGGUUUGUUGCGUCUAUCGUGAAAACCUGCAGCUUAACUGUGGGCUUGCGGUGGAUACGGGCAGACUUGAGUUCGGUAGGGGAGACUGGAAUUCCGUGGUGUAGCGGUGAAAUGCGCAGAUAUCAGGAAGAACACCGACGGCGAAGGCAGCUCGCUGGGACGGUACUGACGCUGAGGCGCGAAAGCAUGGGGAGCGAACAGG
rnacentral:rRNA from 1 species